GCUAAUGUAAAGACAGGAGCUGCAGAGGACAGUCUGAUGUAUGCUGAGGUCAAACAGCCCAAAAAAGAAAAAGCCAAGAAAAACAAAGGAACAUCAAGUCCUGCAGCUGAUGCAGCAGUUUAUUCUGAAGUCACAUCAGGAAGCUCUCUCAGUCAGUGAGGAGAGCUGUAGCAGCAAAGCCAAGAAGAAGCUUUUUAUGAAGCCACUCUUGCUCCUCUGCUGCCCAAAUAUCAAACAUGCUCAGCUUUAUGUACAGUUACAAUAUUACAUCAUAAUAUCAGACAUAUUGCUCUCUUAUAGCAUAAAACAAAUGUAGGUGUAUUCGUGCUCUUUAUAUUCAGUUAUUUGUAUAAAGAUUUUGUAAUAAACCUUGAAUGUAUCUAACAUGUUCCAACAGCAGUGAGAACAAAGUGUGAAAUAUGUGAUCUUUAGUAUCUGACAGCACAACUUAAAGUCAGUGUUUGCAGUGUUUCACAAGUAAAUACUGAUAUGGGCACCAACAAAUAC